UUUAAAGUAAUUUGUAUUACGUCAUUUACUGUUUUUCUUUAACCUUCGAUAUGAAUUGCUUAUUAAUAUGUUAUCACCUCUUUUGUUGUUAUUGACAAUAGAAUUGACCAUAUGACCCCGACCUUCUAUGGUUUACGAUCUCAUUAGCCUAACCUAGGACUCUCCUUGCUUCUUUAACCUCGCACGAUCGAAUAGCCCGAUAACAUUAUGUACGCUUGAACUUGCUCGACGUCGCUUCCCGCGUUUCAAUCGGCUCGAGGAUUGCAAAUGACGAUAAGAAGAUCGAUAGAGAUGAUCGGUUUUUAGUUAUCUCGUCAAUAUGUUAAUCGAUAUAUGUAUCGAUCAAUCUCGGAACUCAAAAAUUCCUGUGCACUGUUAAUAUCACGCUUCGAUAUCUUAAACAAUUGCGAUUCUCGUAGAAUACUGCCAAGAACGUAAUUAGCAUUCAAAGAAGGAAAUUAACGUUGAAAGUCCGUAUUUCGUCUUACGUUUGAAUCAUUACGUACACUAACGUGCAUAAGUAUUUAAACGCUUUCAAAUAAUCGCAAAUACAUACAUAAAAUAUUCUUCAAAUAAAGCUCUUUAAUCUAAUCUCGGGUAACCAUUUACAUUUAGUAAAUAUUGAUGAAAACAGUAGUUGAUAUUAAUUAAUAUAAACAGAAAAGUAAGAAAUCCUAAAGUCAAACCUAAGUUAAGUAACGUUAAAUGUGCUUAUCCAAUAUUGAAAAUAAGCGUCGUACUAAGUCGUAGAAUAAGCGAAGUAUGUGUUUACAAACACAUCCGACAAGUUUAUAUAAAAAAAAUAUUCUAACUGUAAUUUGGUGAAACAUUUGACCUCAGGUAUGGCAAACAACAAAGAAUUAACGGUAGAGAAAUAGACUUCUAUCGUAAUUUUAAAGAUAUAAUAUUAAUAUUAUAAUAUUAAUUAAUAUUAUAAUAUUAAUAUUAAAAUAUUAAUGUUUUAAUUUAAAUGUUUUAAUUGUAUCAAGCGUCCAAAUUUUUAUGAAUGGUAGUGUACAUUCAAACAAAUUAUUUUGUCCAAAGUAGGCAAGUGUGCGGUAUCAAAUCAAAUUAAGUAUCGAUUUUUGAUAAUUCGAAUCAUUAACUAUGAUUAUUCUCCUUAGAGUCGAUUCGUCAGAUUCGCAUACUGAACUUGAUCCCGUUCCAUUUGAUCGACAAUUGCGAACGCGUGCCAGAAUCAACCGGCAGCACGAAAAACAGCGGAAAUGCGAAUUCUGUUCUUUACCUCGGUAGUCCAGUGAGAACAGGAACGUCGCCGCAUCCCAUGGACCCGUGCGUAGACAUCUCUAACCGUAGAAAAUCCAACGACAUAGGAAACAACGGAGAAAAGAACGUGACGAUAUCCAUUAUUGAGUUACUGCGAGUACUACCUCAAUAAAGAGAAAAACGUAAAGAAUCAUGGGAAGCUUGAAGGAGAACAGAAUCUUGAGGUAGUGAUGGAACCGAUUCGUCGAUCAUUGCAAAAUAUCAGAAACACGAGUAUGUAUUUCAAAUGUAUUUCUAUAUAACAACACUUUCACAUAAGACUCAAAUAAGAACUUUAGAUUAGAAGAAUGCAGUAUGAGGCAGAUAAUUCUGUUAACCAAGUUCAUUUCUGGAUGUGUUGGUUGAAAUUAAUAAAUACUAUACUACUAUAUAACACUUUCACAAAUAUGUAAGUUCAGAUAGUUAACAGUUCCUUUAUUUACAGAAUACCGUAGCCGUUGCUUGCGAAUACGUUGUUCCCAUCACUACCGGUCGCAAAUUUCCCUCCCUCGAGUCUGAAUCUCGAGACUAUCGAGCUGUCUUGAAGUUCCGAUGAAUAACUCUCAUUUGACGUAGUGACCACUCGCGAACUAGCAAAAUCUUUUUACAGAAACUCGUAUGGAUCAAGGAGCAUGCAGUCCAGAAAAUAUUUUCGCGAUAGAUUAUCCUUUGACGGAGUGCACUGGCUGUUCACAUACUCGAACCGUGUGUCUCGUUCGCGAAUUCGCGGCACACAGACGGCUGGCAG